UUUUUUUUUUUUUUUUUGGAGUUAUCUAUAAAAUCUGUCAUUGACUGCCAAGAAAGUUUUGCUCUUAGAUUUUUCUUGAGGCUCUUAAAACUUCUUAAUUUACAAAAAAAUACUUUCCUAACCCACUUUUAGUAUACUUAACUCUUAUUGUUCUUAAUUGUUUCAUAGCCAGUCAAGAUAAAUAACAGUUUCCAGCAAUCUCAGAUAUAUAAUAUUUUCAGGUAUAUAUUUUCUACUAACUGCAGGAGAAUAAUGUGCAGUUAACAUAUUAGAUUGAAAUCAAGAGGUCUGGAAUCAAUUCAUGUUCUUACCACAGAGACUCAGUGCAACCUUGGGCAAAUCACAGCAGGAAAAAAUAUACAACACAAAUCUUUAGGCAAAUGAUCUAGAUGCUUCAGCAAUAAUCUAGUCUCCCAAUGCAUUUCCUGUGAGCUGUAGAUAGAGAAUCAUUGUUGGUCCCUCCUGUUUUUCUGCAAAUGCUAUCAGACUUCUUUAUUUGAUUCCUUACUAUGUGUAUAUUCAAAGCUAGCUCAGUGAGAUCCUUGAGCCCUGUAGACAAGUUGACAGUACCAGUAUCAAAGACUGACCAGUAGGCAUAAUUUCAUGAUAGAAAAGCAGCUGAGAAAGUUUAUUAAUUUAUAAAUACCUUUUUAUAUUUUAUAAAAUCCUUUUUAUAUGUUCAUGCAUAUGUAUGCAUAUCUGUGCAUGUACUUGUGCAUAUGUGCAUGGCUACACAUGUAUUUGUGAAUGGCUGUAUAGGUGUAUGAAAGAUUAAAACAAGGGCACUAUGCAGAUAUUAGAUUAAUUUAGCGACAGAAGAAUUCCACAAAAAACACAGAGCAUAAUUCCCACUAUGUGUUCUGCCUUGUACUUGCCUACAUUUUCCAUCUAGAAUGAGUAAGUGGAAACACUUCAUCAGCAUCCCAGAUUACAAGAGGAGCAGAAUGCUUAUCAACUGCCACGCAUUUCAUAAAGGGGAAGAAGCUGUUUGCUGUAGUGAAAAUCAGAUGAGGCUGAAGAGAAGCAAUCCUGUCUCUUCCUCCCACACACAGACAAUUUACACCUGCACAGCUCAGCUAUGCUGAAGCACUUUAAUCAGUCUCAGAAAAUCAAUAAUAUAAUUUUAAAUCCUAUUGUCCUCUUAAACAAAGGGGAGAUCCAGGAAUUUCAUACCAUACGCAUUGCAGCUUGGGUAUGAUGGAAAGAACUAAAAAUAGCUUCUAAAACCUGAUUAAAUUUAUGUAUAUUUGCAAAUUGGAUUUGGUCAUUAUAUUAACAGAACAAUGCUAUUUGUAGAGCAAAUAUAUGUACUUUAUCAUUUACCGUGUAAGAUUUAAAAAAUGUAUAUUUACAGAACAUAGAGAAUAAGAGGAAAUAUUUAAGAUGUUAGUAUUAUCCAUGAUUCCUUGACAACAAGGCAGGUUUUGUCCAUACUUCUUGAGAAAUGGCAUUUCCUACUAUAGUGCCCACGAAGAAUAAGACCUAUUUUGCCAAGCACUAUGGAAACAGAAUAAUCUUAAAACCAGCCCUACCUCAAACAGUUUACAAUCUAAGAAAUGAGAGAAAGCAGAUAGUAGGUGUUCGUUUAGUCUUUAUGUCUUGCCUUGUAUACUGGAACUGUAAAGAAUGAUAUAAAUUGUUGCUAGUUCUGAUGCAGUUUUGUGAUUUGCAGAUUAAACUGAAACAGUAAGGAUGGCUUCUGCCCUACUGUUCCACGAUGUGUUUGAACCUACAGAUCUGAAUAAACAUGGCAAACUCCUUUCUCACAAAGUCUUUUGAUUUUCAUGGUUUUGAUUCAAACUUGGAUGGAGGUAGAGAAGCUAUAGAUCUUCCAAUUGCUUCCAAACCAAAUUCUACAUUAAAUCAAGCUUCAGACUUUGAUUCUGUUCUAUAACUACUCUGAAAAUUAAUACUAUUUAUUUGCUCUUAAAUGUUCUGAAAUCAUUAAAAUGCUCCCAUUCUAACAUUUGCUGGCAGUUCACUUGUUUGUGAGUUGUGAGAGUAGGGAGAAUACUGAAGGACUGAAAUGGCUUUAAGGCCUUUAGGUGAGAGAAUCAAGCCUCUGUCUCUAGCAUCUCUAAUGAUUUGUUCUACAAAAUGUGUUUUAAAAUCUCAAAAAAACAAAAAAAAAAAACAAAACCAAACAUAGGAGCAGCGAUGUCUGUGUCCAGCAUUUUGCUUCUCAUUAAGUGCUGAAAGUAAAGCAUGAAGCUGGAAAGGGACCAAUCAGAGUUCCUCCAGCACUGUCCUUCAGAUGAGCAUUGUUUGUACCCCAUGCAUGUACGUGUCACAGGUAGGUAGGGGACUAGUGGCAGAGGAAAGUGCUCUUCAUAGAGAUAGUGCAGAGAGAAUUGGAUAAUAGAGAGGACUGGAUUAACAGAAAUGAAAUUCAAAGGCCAAAAAAAAGGUUAUGAACAAUGGACAAACGUUCUACUCUAAGAUCUGGCCUCUUUAUCUAGAAACUGCUCAGAAGGAGAACUUCAUGAGUGCAUUAACUGAAUACAAAAUUAUUCUGAGCUACUAACUUGCCAUAACCAAAGAAAAAGAGAAACACAUUCAUAAGCUGUAUUGAAGAUGCAGGAAGAUUAAUACCUUUAGUGCAGUGCGCAUCCCUGCAGUACUUCAUAUGAAAUAUUCUGUGAUUCACGUUCAAGUAGCAUAAAUUCAAGCUCAGGAAAGUGUUGGGAUGAGCUGUCCAACCCAUCUUGGAGAUGGAGAGCCUGUCAUGCGGGAAGGGACAGAGAGACUAUGGUCUGGUUCAUUGACAAGUAUGGGGACUUGUGUUAACAGAGGUCUAGGAAUGCCUCAAGGGGGAAAACAGCUGUUGAAGCGAGAGACAAUAGUGUCUUGAGAACAUGGAUAUAAUCUGAUCAUAAAUAACUUUAGGGUGGAAACUUGGAUGUUUCCUCCUAAUUAAGAAAUGACAAUAGAAGUCAGUUCCUGCUGUGAGUGUGGAAGUGAAUUACUCUAGGUAGUUGUAAUAUGAACUUGGGUAGUAAAGGGGAAAAAAAUAUGGAUGAGGUUGCUCAUGUCAGCGCAGCUGCGUAACUCAAAUUAAUGUCGCACACCUCAAUACUCAGUAUUGGCUUAUUUAAUGCAAAACUGAGUUUUCAAAUGAAAGUAGUGUCUCACCAACUGGACUGAAACCUUUUACAGUUAUCAAUAUAUCCAGCUCCCUUUGAAUUCAUGUAAGAUAUAUAUGCUAAAAUACUGAGAGCUCAAGUACUCUUUCCCCACUCAUUGAUGUGAGCCAUGCUGUGAUAUGGAAGUCAGGAAGACAACUUUUUAGUCAGUAAACAAAAAAGGCUGUGAUAUUAUUUCUAAUAACAGUGCUUUCUACCCCACCCCCCCACCCUUCUUAAAGGACAGUAGCUUAGUUCUUUCCUACUCUGUAUUUACCAGCUGUAGUGUAAAGAUCAUCUGUGCAACUGUUGGCGUAUAACAAAAUUUAAGAUUUAUUAUUUACUUACCAAAGAUGCCAAAUACUCCUAGACAGCUGGUGAGUAGUUAUUUCACUGAAAAAUUAAUUUUUCUGAAUUACAUUGACAGGAUCUAAGAUCUUUUUUUUUUUUUUUUUUUUUUUGCAUUUGCCACUAAUCUUUGUGUCUGUGAUCGCUGCGCUAACAGCACCUGGUAAACUCCAGAUGACUUUAAAAUCUUUUUUAUCUGUAGCUGUCUUUGAUGCCUCAAAAGAUCUAAUUUAUCCAUUAUGGACUAAUGUCUUUACUCAUAACCUAGUGAGAAUGAUGCAAAAAUACUCUUCAAGCCCGCUCUUUUUCAGAUGGAUUUAGUGUCCUUUUUCUUUAGCAUUCAGCUCUCCUUAAGGUCUGAGAGUACCUUUUUAUGGUUCACAAGUUGUUGUUGUAAUCAAGUUGGCUGCAGUCCCACAGUAAGCUGUGUGACUCAGUGACAGUUGCAAUCAGUGCACCAGGAAAAAGACAAAGAACUGAUACAUUGGGAAGCUCAGCCACGGAUGAAAAUAUUUGGAGGGCUUUUCACAAAGUCUAUUAGUUGGAGAGCUUCAGAUUAAUCUGAGCUUUGAAGUGUUCAAUAUCAUUAUUAACUAAUGUAUGUAGCAUCUAACACUGCCAAGUUUUAUAUUUAACAAGCAUUAAGUUUCAAUUAGAUACAAUAUUGUUAAUUUCCCACAAUAAAAAGUUUCACUAGAUUGCUGUGCACUUCUAUUUGGGAAACACCUAGACAUGUUUUAAGAGAGGCAGGAAGUUUUACUAUUUAAAAGCCACAAGGCGGUCAAGGAUGCACUUAACUUGACUCAUUUGCUUAAUUCUCAGAAAUAUCAAUGAGAUUUCAGUAUGAGCCAGAAGGGAAAUACUUUGAUUUAAACAUUGUCGUUUAUCAUUCCAGAGCCUGAUGUAUUCUCAAGAAAACGAGAAUUUUCAUUUCUCAAGUACCCUGACUAGGACUUGAAGAAUGCUUCAAAAUCAGUGAUGUUACUUUAACAGAAGGCCCUCAUUCCAUCGUGCUGUGCUGUUUGCACACAGACUGCGGGUGGCUGUGCAGCACAGGAGCGUGGAGCUGGGGAAGGAUCAGGAGUGCUGAGUGUGCACCCAGCAUCGCACCGCAGCUUCCCCCAGAUAGCACACUGCUGCGUGUGGAGCAGAAAUCCGCCUCUGUUUCCUAUUUUCUAGAAACUGAAAUGACCGCAGUGGAUCUGUCCCCAGCUGCCACCCAGCAGGCCCUACUUUAAUUUUAGAGUAUAUUUGGGACUUUCACUUUUGAGGGUCUUUGGACCUGAUUUUCCGGGUAUUAGUAAUAAUGAUCCAAAAAAAGCCAGAAAGAAAUAUAUAAAACAUUUCUGUUAAGUUUGAAAUGAAAUUCUAAAUAAGAUUCAUGUGUGUUCUUCUCAAAAUAUUUACUUCUUAAUACAACCAUUAAUAAUUAAAAAAAAAAAUUGUCUGUUUUCUUCCCUUAUUUUCCUGAUUGUUUCCAAUAUUUUUCCUAGUUUCAAAGGAAAGGGUUGGAACUGUGGAGCUCUGGGAGCUCUUUUCCCAUUUGCCAUAUGUUGUGUAUGUGUGCAUUGUGUAUAUAUAUGGACACUGUGGCUUAGCCAAGGUAGUGGCAAAAAUGCAUCCACUGCCGGAACACUUGAGAAACAAUAAAAUAUGCCUUACUCCAUAAAUCCA